rnacentral:rRNA from 1 species
CGGCGGACGGGUGAGUAACGCGUGGGUAACCUACCCUGUACACACGGAUAACAUACCGAAAGGUAUGCUAAUACGGGAUAAUAUAUUUGAGAGGCAUCUCUUGAAUAUCAAAGGUGAGCCAGUACAGGAUGGACCCGCGUCUGAUUAGCUAGUUGGUAAGGUAACGGCUUACCAAGGCGACGAUCAGUAGCCGACCUGAGAGGGUGAUCGGCCACAUUGGAACUGAGCACGGUCCAA